UCCUGUUUAAUCAAAAACAUGUCUGUGUGAAAUUGUUAUAAAGUCUAGCCUGCCCACUGAUUAACUUAAAGGGCCGCGGUAAUUUGACCGUGCGAAGGUAGCAUAGUCAGUAGUCUUUUAAUUGAAGGCUUGAAUGAAAGGUUGGACGAGGGAUAAGCUGUCUCCUUUACAUAAUGUUGAAUUUAACUUUUGAGUGAAAAGGCUCAAAUUUCUUAAUGGGACGAUAAGACCCUAUAAAACUUAAUAUAAUUUUGGCUUAAUUUGUGAUUAUUAGUGAAAAGUAGUUUUGCCGGGUUUAUAUUUCGUUGGGGAGAUGUAGAUAUAAUAUGUAACUGUCUAUAUAAUUUAAUAAUUAUAAUUAGUAUUUGAUCCUUCUUUGUGGAUUAGAAGAAUAAGUUACUUUAGGGAUAACAGCGUGAUUUUCUUUGAGAGUUCUUAUCGACAAGAGUAGUUGCGACCUCGAUGUUGAAUUAAAAUUUCAGCUAGGUGUAGCCGUUUAGCUGGUGGGUCUGUUCGACCUUAAAAUAUACAUGAUU
rnacentral:rRNA from 1 species